CUGGAUUCGACAGGAUUCAAUGAUGCUGGAGGUGCAUGCAGAGGUGCGGCUGGCCUCUUUAAAAAGCCGCAAAAAAAUAGUCGCAAACGACGAAAACUACGCACUAGCAGCUUAAUAACCUGCAUAGGCCCUCCCACUCAAGUUCUUUUCACUAACUGAGGUUCGGGAGGUCAUACUAGUGAAAUAG
rnacentral:tmRNA from 14 species